CUUGCAGUUAAGGAAAAGACACCCCACACUUCCUGUGCCUGUGAGAAUUUAACAGAAAAAAGACUAGGAAACAGAUCCAGCCUCUGCCCUUGGCUUUCACCAGGCACUUACUGAGGUUGACUAUUCUGAGUGCUCUUCCCUCCCUCUCCUCAUGACAAGUGAGACCUGGCUGUACUUAGUCUUGUUUUGCUUCAGCUGCCCAUCACCCCAGCAGCUGGGAUGUGGAACUCAUUCUUCCCCCUUCCAGGCUUUCUGGCAGAAGUAGAACAGGACUUUUCCAGAGGACAGGAUCAUGCGGAGAUCCAACUCUUCAGGUCAGGGCAGAGUCCUGAAAUUCCACGUGGAAUAAAGCUUUGGGGAUACUCUACGGUUCACCCAGAGCCAACUACCACAGUCACCACAGUGACAGCUUAACCUUAAGCAAAUGCUGUCACAUAGCAGGCCCUGGAUAGGUGGGGCACCUCAUCUGAGGUGCUCAGGCAGCUUCAUGAACCAGAUUUUAUAGUCUCCUGUUGCUAAUGAAGAAACUGGGGCUCCUAACAUUGAUUUUCUUCUAGGGGAGGAUUAUUGAGCACGCUGGGUAUUGUGUGGGCAAUCCUGUGCAUACAAUGGGAAAUGAGAUAAACACAGUCCUUCCUGUAGGCAGCUGGCAUUCGGCUACUAAUUGUGGCAGCGUCAAGACUGAAACCUUGGUUGGCCUGACUCUGAAGCUUACUUAAAUUCUGUGUACAAUUUCUUAUAAUCUGAGAUACCUCCUGGGGGCAUUCUGGAACAUCAGCCUGCCCAGAGCAAACACCGAGUAGUUCCUCGGAAGGUUAACACAAUGAAAGAAUACUGUCCUUCCUGGAUUCUCUGUUAAGUAUAUUCUCCAUUCAUCUCCUUUAUCUUUCGGUCCAAAGACAAUGUUGUGGAUUGUGCAAUGUAAGUUCUGCUUCAGUGAAGAAUUAAUUUCAUUUAACUAUUCAUGUAAAAGACAUCUAGCUGUAUAUCCACUAGAGAUUUGACUCUUCUAAAAAUCAAGGAAUGAUUGGCUUGAUGAAUGUUGAUUUAAUAUGUCAACUCUGUAUGUUUUUAUGUCACUAGAACCAGGGUCCAGCAGUCUUUCUCCCUUAUAGCCUCUAAUGUCAAGAAUGCUGCAUGGUCUGAGCUGGCUGCUGGAGCUCCACUUGUACUGAGUUCUGUUAGAAGAUAAUAAGGCAGCCUACUGAAAGACCUGUUACUAAUCUUUCAUCCCACUGUCUGCUCCUACCUGAUGUAAGAAAUACUAUAAUGUUGUGUAUAGCACAGUGUAAUAAUUCUUUUAAACUCUGUAUAUUGCCUGUCUCUUUCCAGAGUGAAUAAAGAAAGGCAACACUGUCAUCAAUGGUCUCUGUCAGAGGCAGCCUCCCAAGUGCCGGGAUUGCAGACGUGCACCACAGUGCAUGCCUUUGAAGUCCACAUCGAUGUACAUCAGAAUCCCAAGUGAGAACUUUUCGAAGUACUGCCCUCUGGGUCCCCUGUGGGACAUUCUGAAGAAGUUCCCCAAGUGAUUCAGCUUCACGGUCGGUGGGCUCAGUGCCAGCUGUGCCACACGUCCACCAAGGAUGUGCUCGCUCAAGACACUGUUUUAUGCACUACAAAUAAUGAAGUAAAUGUCACAUAAAAUCCGUUGGAGCUUCACUGAGGUGACCAUAGAUGGGUGGGGCUUGGAGGCUCAACAGCGCCACCUUUCUUAAGUGGUAACAGAAUAAUCUGUGAAGACAGGAAGUCCAGAAGUGUGGUGAGCAGACUUUGGAGAGAGCAGAAAGAGGAGAUCCAAGGGCGAGCCGGAGUUAGAGAAGGGGCUGUCAAGAAAGUGCAAGAACUCAUUGUGUGGUAGGCACUGUCUGCCAAUCUCAUCAUCUGAGAAGAGUCUAGUACUUAGAAUAAGCAAAGAAUCUUACAACACGGCAUUGAAUGACAAAAACCAAUUAAAACCGAACAAACCAUUACAGUAACUAUUUCUCCAGAUACAAUGUACAAAUGAAGCUGUGUGGUGUCCCGUACCGAUAAUCCCAGCAUUCAGAGGAGACUGAGGCAGGAGGACUGUGAUGUCAAGACUGUCUGUGCAACGUCAGGAGACUCUGGAUUAAUCCCCUGACAUGUAUACACACAAGUGGUCAAUGCUCAAUGUCAAGCCAUCUGAGAAAUGUAAGUCAAAGGCACAAUGAGGUACCCUUUCACGCCUAGUAGGGUGGCAGUCAUCACUAUCGUUACCAUGGCCAUCAUCAAUUAUCCUGAGAUAAUAACAGAGGUAAGUGUGGUGGUUUAAAUAAAAAUGGCCCCAAAGCUCCAUAGGGAUGACAUUAUUAGGAGGUGCGGCCUUGUUGAAAGAAGUGUGUCAGUAGGGGCUUUGAGGUCUUAGACGCUGAAGCCAGGUUCAGUGUGCCUCAAUCUCUUCCUGCUGCCUCUCAAUUCAGAUGGAGAGCUCUCCGCUCCUUCUCCAGCACCAUAACCCCGUCUGCCUGCAUGCUGCCAUGCUUCCUGCCAUGGUGAAUAAAUAUGGACUAAACCUCUGAUCUGUAAGCCAGCCCCAGUUAAAUGCUUUCCUUGAUGAGAGUUGCCAUGGUCACGGUGUCUCUUCACAGCAGUACAAAGCCCUAAGAUCAUGAGAGUAAAGGGAAACUGUAAUCCUUCUACAUUGCAUGUGGGGAUGUAAAAUGGGGUAGCCACCUUUGAAGAUCAGCUCCCACUAACCCCCCAAAUUAUGUGUAUGGUUCACAUCUGGUCUCAGCGAUUCUUCUUUUAGGUAUAUGCCUGGAGAACUGGAGGCCUACACAGAUGUUUAUAAAUAGAAAGGAUCACCGUGUUCACCAACUGAUGAGUGAUGUCCAUCAGCUCUGUAGUAUAACUACACAGAGUGUCGUACGGGGGAACAGAGUGAACCAACACAUGCGUAAUAUGGGUGAACUUUGAAAACAUAAAGUAAGUAAAAUAACCGUUACUAAGGGCAGCAUAUUAUAUAGUCGCACCAAUGACACAUUUAGAAUAGAAAAGCCCACAGAAAUGAAGAAGAGCUUAGCUAACCGUUGACAGAUGAGGGAGUGAAGAGGAAUGAGAAUGACUCUUGAGACAGUGAACAUCCUCAACAAUGCAGCAUUGGCUACCCAAUGCUGUGGCUAUGAACUCACGGGAGGGGAAAGUUAGUCAAUACAAUUCUUAUGGUGUCAUCUGAAUGCCCAAGUGUCUUCCAAUGACAUGGAAAUAAAGAAGAAUGUAAAGAAAGUUACAGAGCCGGCAGGGUAAGGGCAGAUUCAGUCAGUAGUAUAUUCGUUUAGAACAGGUGUGACAAGAGAGAAUCUGGAGAUGAGGCUGAAGUGAGAUGUUGGGUCUCGAACUUCCAGUCAGCCUGUGGGUCUCUGAGUGAGUUUCACAUAUCAUGUCUAUCAUGUCGGGCCACUGCUCUUCCAGGUGCUUGAACAAAGAGAGAGGCUUGGCAGUAUAAGUGAGGGUGACAUUAAACAAACACUGCACGCCGGAAACACAUUUGAUAGGUACUCCUCGGCGUGAUGCAAUCCAGGAAUGUGCAGGUAUUCUGGGUACACUUACAGAAGUCAUGUUCGGGGAGAUGUGGUGAGAGUGAUGUCAUAGGAAGAGCUGUUGGUGGGUCUCAAACACCCCCUCUCGAGGUGCUGGCAGAGCAAGGAAGCAAUGAAGCGUCUUUCCACGGAGACAGCUGUGGGCUGAAUGUUGAGCGCUCUCUGUCAUGCUUCAUCCUUCCAGCUACUGUGGGAGAAAUGAUACUCACGACUGUUCAGGAGCUGACGAUGGACUGGUCUAGCAGAUCUUGCUUUCUCCGUCACCAGAAGCAAGGAUCCAGGGACCUCCCUGACUCUUUCCUCCCUGCUUAGGGAGGCAUUUGCAAAUGUCAUCACAAAGUUUCUUGGGUCAGGGUCACUUCCUUGCUUUAGUUUGUCCAAGUGAGAGUUGUCAAAAAUGGACUAGAUCCUUCCAGAGUUGGCACCAGUACAGGGGAGGGGAGGAGGACAGAGCACAGAGAGCAAUCUCGUUGAACACCACCCCUCCACAAUAAACAUUAUAUUCCUCA